UGAGGCCCUGUUGGGACCCUCUCCAAAGUGUCCCAUAUAGAAAAUCCCAAUGUGUUCAAAUCUGGUAAGGAAGGGGCCAUAUCUCUUUCUACCAGAAUCGAGCACUGUUAUCUACGCAGAACUUUUGGCACUGAACAGACGUGGGAGAGGGGCCGUCCUGAAUCCACACGUAGUUAUCCUCCGGGUAGUUGUUCUUCAGCCAUGACAAGAUGGUGUACCUGAACCUCUUAUAGAAGUGGCCCUGCUCGCCUAUUUUCUGUUCAGCCUUGAAAAAGAAAGGAGAUAUCUCCUUUCUAUCAGAGGCCACAACGCCGAGUACCAUUGUUUUGGCCGGAUAUUUGGUGUGGUAAAUCCCUUGGACCUCUUCCUUUGUUUUUGCAAGCGAAUGCUCAUUCCAGCGGUUGUAGAAGUGAUCAACUGGGAAAAUCUUCUGGUGUAAGAAAAUUUUCUCAAUGUACCCAUUUGCCUUGAUACAUGUGAGGAUUUUCUUGCACCUCUAACACCUCCUGGAUGUCACACCCUCUAUCAGAAGCCCUCUUGAUGGUCCUUGGAGUCUCAGAGAAGUCGUUGGCGAGGCGAUUCACUGACUUGGUGAGAUCCUUCUAUAUAUUAUUCUCCAAACUUAAAAAAAAACUUCAUACCCCUCUUUAAAUUAUGUCCUCCACUUCCUGACAUCCUGGAGAGGUCUUCUCCAUUUUUUUUUUCAUCUUGCCAAACUUAAAAAAACAGACUCCUAGAACACUUAACAAUGUCUGUAUUCAAAGGUCUUAAUCUGGUGUGGAAUGGGCAUGUUAAAAAAACAAACAACGAAAAUCAACAUUACAAUUUGAGGUGUCCAAUCAUUUGGGCGCGCUUUUUUGGGGGUGCAUCUUUUUAGCGAGGCUCUGAGGUUUUUUGAAAUGCCUCUGGAAUUUCAAAUCCAUUUCUUCCUCUCGGUGAUGGUGGAUCCAUGUUAUUGUGCCGUAUCCUCCUAAUAGUUUGGGCCAAGUUUCUAUUAGUUCCUAAGGAAGCAGAUGCUUCUUCACUUAAAUUUUGGACAUUGUUAGCAAUAAUUGCUCUAGUGGACUCGGAAGAUGAUUUAGCAGAAUUUUUUAUGGAAGUGUACAAUUUCUUGAUUUCUAUUUUUGAUGGGACUGGGACAUCACAAUGGCUCGAUAAAACAGAAAUGGGCACAUCUCCAUUCUGUAGACUCAAUUGUAUUUUCACUCGACCUUUGCAAAUUUGCUUCGAUACGCCGCCAAACAGGUUUGGAAUAUAAUUGAAUAUAUUCAGAAGAGGAUGUUCACUACUCAGGAAUUAAAUAAUAAUGACAACUAUUAAGGAAAAUAAAAUUCGUUCUUUUUACUACCAAUUACAAAUUCACGGGCCUGCUAAAAAACACACUGGAUUUACAUGUAUGUCUGUAAUCUUCAUCACAUCAACUCCAGUAUCUAGGAGAUCUGAGAUGCACUGCUUUUUUACUUGAUGCUCGCUAAUGAUUAUGAAAUGACUAAAUGAUUAGUAUAGUUUUUUUAUAUAAAAAAUCAAAAUAAUCACUAAAACUUUUCAUAGUAAUGAGAAAAUAAAAAUUAAUUAACAGUCUACGUAUUGCCGCCAUAACCUCUAUAUACAUGGGAUACACUAACAAUAUACAUUAGUCGCCCUAAGAAUUAUAUAUACGUGCACUAAAUAAAUCUUAGGCAUUUUUUGAAAUUUAGAUAUUUCAAACACUUUUUGUGAAAUGAGAUCCAUUCUAAGGUUGCUAAUGAUUUUAACAGAGAAACAAAUAUAAAUGAAUGGGAAAACAACAUAAAUAGAAAAUACUUUACUUAUUUUUCAUAUACUACUAAGAAUUAUUUACAAUAUUUGCUCAGUAGUUCAAUCAAAGUUUUUUUUCUUAUUACUUUGCCGAACAUAAUCCCUCUUUGCAUUUUAUUUUCUCCAAGAUAUUUUUUUCAACCUGCUUAACCUCAGGUGACAAUCUAUUAUCAUAUAAUAGUUUUAUUGUCCGAAUACAA
rnacentral:lncRNA from 1 species